GGCUUCAUGAGGUUGAUUGACACAAGGGUGUGUUCAAAGAAGGAGGAGAUCGGAUCUUCUUUAUAAACACUUCAGCUACAGCACUUCUCCACUUGUCUGCUCAUCAAAGCCAAACAAGCCUUGGAGAGGGAGAGGAGACAAAAAAGUACAUGGCUAUGUGGCUCCCAACAGCAGUGGUACUGUUUCUGGCCCCUGCUCUCUUCUUCAGCCAGCAGUCCUUAAAUGAGUCUUUCAGUGACACCAGAGCAGUUGAACCAUCUCACUGCUCACAGGGAUUCGUGGUUGACAAAGCCUUUCCUUGGAACGACAUUCUGAUGGUGUAUGAACGGGACCUACAUCAUUGCCAGCUUGCCUGCACUCAGAACCCUGGGUGUUCCUACUUCAGCUACGUGGUUAAAGAGUAUAAUCUAUUUGAGUAUUUGGGUUGUCUGUUUGGGUGGUGGUCAAACCACUUGUUUUGUUAAAUAGUUAAUGGGUGGGGCUAGAGAAAUGUCACUGCUGUCAAAUGCAGAGCUAUGGAUUCAAGGACUG
rnacentral:lncRNA from 13 species